rnacentral:rRNA from 1 species
UGGGGAAUAUUGCACAAUGAGGGAAACCCUGAUGCAGCGACGCCGCGUGGAGGAAGAAGGUCUUCGGAUUGUAAACUCCUGUUGUUGAGGAAGAUAAUGACGGUACUCAACAAGGAAGUGACGGCUAACUACGUGCCAGCAGCCGCGGUAAAACGUAGGUCACAAGCGUUGUCCGGAAUUACUGGGUGUAAAGGGAGCGCAGGCGGGAAGACAAGUUGGAAGUGAAAUCCAUGGGCUCAACCCAUGAACUGCUUUCAAAACUGUUUUUCUUGAGUAGUGCAGAGGUAGGCGGAAUUCCCGGUGUAGCGGUGGAAUGCGUAGAUAUCGGGAGGAACACCAGUGGCGAAGGCGGCCUACUGGGCACCAACUGACGCUGAGGCUCGAAAGUGUGGGUAGCAAACAGGAUUAGAUACCCUGGUAGUCCACACUGUAAACGAUGAUUACUAGGUGUUGGAGGAUUGACCCCUUCAGUGCCGCAGUUAACACAAUAAGUAAUCCACCUGGGGAGUACGACCGCAAGGUUGAAACUCAAAGGAAUUGACGGGGGCCCGCACAAGCAGUGGAGUAUGUGGUUUAAUUCGACGCAACGCGAAGAACCUUACCAAGUCUUGACAUCCUGCGACGGUGCUGGAAACAGAACUUUCCUUCGGGACGCAGAGACAGGUGGUGCAUGGUUGUCGUCAGCUCGUGUCGUGAGAUGUUGGGUUAAGUCCCGCAACGAGCGCAACCCUUAUGGUCAGUUACUACGCAAGAGGACUCUGGCCAGACUGCCGUUGACAAAACGGAGGAAGGUGGGGAUGACGUCAAAUCAUCAUGCCCUUUAUGACUUGGGCUACACACGUACUACAAUGGCGUUAAACAAAGAGAAGCAAGACCGCGAGGUGGAGCAAAACUCAGAAACAACGUCCCAGUUCGGACUGCAGGCUGCAACUCGCCUGCACGAAGUCGGAAUUGCUAGUAAUCGCAGAUCAGCAUGCUGCGGUGAAUACGUUCCC